AGUCAACCUAACUCGUGGACGUGGAUAACCUCGGGAAACUGAGAAUAAACCACGAUAGAUCAUAGUGCCUGGAAUGGCUUAUGGUCCAGACAGUUUACUGCCAUGGGAUGGGACUGCGGCCUAUCAGCUUGUUGGUGAGGUAAUGGCCCACCAAGGCGAUUACAGGUACGGGCUCUGAGAGGGGAAGCCCGGAGAUGGGUACUGAGACACGGACCCAGGCCCUAUGGGGCGCAGCAGGCGAGAAACCUUAGCAAUGUGCGAAAGCACGACUGGGUCAGUCCGAGUGAUUCCUGAUAAAGGAGUCUUUUGCUUGUCCUAAAAGCACAGGUGAAUAAGGGGUGGGCAAGUCUGGUGUCAGCCGCCGCGGUAAUACCAGCACCUCGAGUGGUCAGGACGUUUAUUGGGCCUAAAGCAUCCGUAGCCGGCUUUGCAAGUCUUCGGUUAAAUCCACCUGCUCAACAGAUGGGCCGCUGGAGAUACUACAGAGCUAGGGAGUGGGAGAGGCAGACGGUAUUCAGUGGGUAGGGGUAAAAUCCUCUGAUCCAUUGAGGACCACCAGUGGCGAAGGCGGUCUGCCAGAACACGUUCGACGGUGAGGGAUGAAAGCUGGGGGAGCAAACCGGAUUAGAUACCCGGGUAGUCCCAGCUGUAAACGAUGCAAACUCGGUGAUGCAUUGGCUUAUGGCCAAUGCAGUGCCGCAGGGAAGCCGUUAAGUUUGCCGCCUGGGAAGUACGGACGCAAGUCUGAAACUUAA
rnacentral:rRNA from 1 species